AUUAGCUCCCACCUGGCCCGGACCCUCCUCCCUCCUCUGGCCGGGUUAAAAUCUGGAUUGAAAAAGCAAGUGCGGUUUGAUGGCCUCUCAAAAAGUGGAGCAUAGGCUGGGCGCGGUGGCUCACGCCUGUAACGCCAGCACUUUGGGAGGUCAAGGUGGGUGCAUCACCUGAGGUCAGAAGCUUGAGACCAGCCUGGCCAACAUGGUGAAACCCCAUCUCUACUAA
rnacentral:sRNA from 1 species